rnacentral:rRNA from 1 species
GAUGAACGCUGACAGAAUGCUUAACACAUGCAAGUCAACUUGAACUUCGGUUUGGGUGGCGGACGGGUGAGUAACGCGUAAAGAACUUGCCUCACAGAUAGGGACAACAUUUGGAAACGAAUGCUAAUACCUGAUAUUAUGAUUUUGGGGCAUCCUAGGAUUAUGAAAGCUAUAUGCGCUGUGAGAGAGCUUUGCGUCCCAUUAGCUAGCUGGAGAGGUAACGGCUCACCAAGGCGAUGAUGGGUAGCCGGCCUGAGAGGGUGAUCGGCCACAAGGGGACUGAGACACGGCCCUUACUCCUACGGGAGGCAGCAGUGGGGAAUAUUGGACAAUGGACCAAGAGUCUGAUCCAGCAAUUCUGUGUGCACGAUGAAGUUUUUCGGAAUGUAAAGUGCUUUCAGUUGGGAAGAAAAAAAUGACGGUACCAACAGAAGAAGUGACGGCUAAAUACGUGCCAGCAGCCGCGGUAAUACGUAUGUCACAAGCGUUAUCCGGAUUUAUUGGGCGUAAAGCGCGUCUAGGUGGUUAUAUAAGUCUGAUGUGAAAAUGCAGGGCUCAACUCUGUAUUGCGUUGGAAACUGUGUAACUAGAGUACUGGAGAGGUAAGCGGAACUACAAGUGUAGAGGUGAAAUUCGUAGAUAUUUGUAGGAAUGCCGAUGGGGAAGCCAGCUUACUGGACAGAUACUGACGCUGAAGCGCGAAAGCGUGGGUAGCAAACAGG